rnacentral:rRNA from 1 species
CUACAUGAAGCUGGAAUCGCUAGUAAUCGCAGGUCAGCAUACUGCCGGUGAAUACGUUCCCGGGUCUUGUACACACCGCCCGUCACACCAUGGGAGCCGGAAAUGCCCGAAGCCAGUGACCCAACCUUAGGGAGGGAGCUGUCGAAGGUGGAGCCGGUAACUGGGGUGAAGUCGUAACAAGGUACC